AUUCCAGCUCCAAUAGCGUAUAUUAAAGUUGUUGCAGUUAAAACGCUCGUAGUCGGAUUUCGGGGCGGGCCGACCGGUCUGCCGAUGGGUAUGCACUGGCCGGCGCGUCCUUCCACCCGGAGACCGCGCCUACUCUUAACUGAGCGGGCGCGGGAGACGGGUCUUUUACUUUGAAAAAAUCAGAGUGUUUCAAGCAGGCAGUCGCUCUUGCAUGGAUUAGCAUGGGAUAAUGAAAUAGGACUCUGGUGCUAUUUUGUUGGUUUCGAACACCGGAGUAAUGAUUAAUAGGGACAGUCGGGGGCAUUUGUAUUCAAACGACAGAGGUGAAAUUCUUGGACCAUUUGAAGACAAACUACUGCGAAAGCAUUUGCCAAGAAUGUUUUCAUCG
rnacentral:rRNA from 1 species